GUAGGUGGCAAGCGUUGUCCGGAAUUAUUGGGCGUAAAGCGCGCGCAGGCGGUUCUUUAAGUCUGAUGUGAAAGCCCACGGGCUCAACCGUGGAGGGUCAUCGGAAACUGGAGAACUUGAGUACAGAAGAGGAAAGCGGAAUUCCACGUGUAGCGGUGAAAUGCGUAGAGAUGUGGAGGAACACCAGUGGCGAAGGCGGCUUUCUGGUCUGUAACUGACGCUGAGGCGCGAAAGCGUGGGGAGCAAACAGGAUUAGAUACCCUGGUAGUCCACGCCGUAAACGAUGAGUGCUAAGUGUUAGGGGGUUUCCGCCCCUUAGUGCUGCAGCUAACGCAUUAAGCACUCCGCCUGGGGAGUACGGCCGCAAGGCUG
rnacentral:rRNA from 1 species